rnacentral:tRNA from 7 species
GGCGGAUGUAGCCAAGUGGAUCAAGGCAGUGGAUUUGUGAAUCCA